GAUGAACGCUGGCGGCGUGCUUAACACAUGCAAGUCGAACGAUGAUGCCAGCUUGCUGGUGGAUUAGUGGCGAACGGGUGAGUAACACGUGAGUAACCUGCCCUUGACUCUGGGAUAAGCCUGGGAAACUGGGUCUAAUACCGGAUAUGACCUUCCAUCGCAUGGUGGUUGGUGGAAAGCUUUUGUGGUUUUGGAUGGACUCGCGGCCUAUCAGCUUGUUGGUGGGGUAAUGGCCUACCAAGGCGACGACGGGUAGCCGGCCUGAGAGGGUGACCGGCCACACUGGGACUGAGACACGGCCCAGACUCCUACGGGAGGCAGCAGUGGGGAAUAUUGCACAAUGGGCGCAAGCCUGAUGCAGCGACGCCGCGUGAGGGAUGACGGCCUUCGGGUUGUAAACCUCUUUCAGUAGGGAAGAAGCCGUAAGGUGACGGUACCUGCAGAAGAAGCGCCGGCUAACUACGUGCCAGCAGCCGCGGUAAGAC
rnacentral:rRNA from 1 species